ACCGGAGGGUAAUGGGUCAGUCCUUCGCCAAUCUGGUCAGGUCCGGAAGGAAGCAGCCAUAACGAAUGCGGCUGAGGUCACUGCUCUCCACCAUUUUU
rnacentral:SRP_RNA from 1 species